CAGCAGCCGCGGUAAUACAGAGGGUGCGAGCGUUAAUCGGAUUUACUGGGCGUAAAGCGUGCGUAGGCGGCUUUUUAAGUCGGAUGUGAAAUCCCUGAGCUUAACUUAGGAAUUGCAUUCGAUACUUGGAAGCUAGAGUAUGGGAGAGGAUGGUAGAAUUCCAGGUGUAGCGGUGAAAUGCGUAGAUAUCUGGAGGAAUACCGAUGGCGAAGGCAGCCAUCUGGCCUAAUACUGACGCUGAGGUACGAAAGCAUGGGGAGCAAACAGGAUUAGAUACCCGUGUAGUCCCUGUCUCUUAUAC
rnacentral:rRNA from 1 species